GGCUGUUACUGCGGCUGGGGCGGCCGAGGAACCCCCAAGGAUGGCACCGAUUGAGCCCGGGCCCUUCUGCCAUGUGAACCUCUGUGCCUGUGACCGGAAGCUCGUCUACUGCCUCAAGAGAAACCUACGGAGCUACAACCCACAGUACCAAUACUUUCCCAACAUCCUCUGCUCCUAGGCCUCCCCAGCGAGCUCCUCCCAGACCAAGACUUUUGUUCUGUUUUUCUACAACACAGAGUACUGACUCUGCCUGGUUCCUGAGAGAGGCUCCUAAGUCACAGACCUCAGUCUUUCUCGAAGCUUGGCGGACCCCCAGGGCCACACUGUACCCUCCAGCGAGUCCCAGGAGAGUGACUCUGGUCAUAGGACUUGGUAGGGUCCCAGGGUCCCUAGGCCUCCACUUCUGAGGGCAGCCCCUCUGGUGCCAAGAGCUCUCCUCCAACUCAGGGUUGGCUGUGUCUCUUUUCUUCUCUGAAGACAGCGUCCUGGCUCCAGUUGGAACACUUUCCUGAGAUGCACUUACUUCUCAGCUUCUGCGAUCAGAUUAUCAUCACCACCACCCUCCAGAGAAUUUUUACGCAAGAAGAGCCAAAUUGACUCUCUAAAUCUGGUGUAUGGGUAUUAAAUAAAAUUCAUUCUCAAGGCUAAUAAAAACCACAUUGGC
rnacentral:lncRNA from 10 species